UUGAACUGAAGAGUUUGAUCCUGGCUCAGAUUGAACGCUGGCGGCAUGCCUUACACAUGCAAGUCGAACGGCAGCACGGGUGCUUGCACCUGGUGGCGAGUGGCGAACGGGUGAGUAAUACAUCGGAACAUGUCCUGUAGUGGGGGAUAGCCCGGCGAAAGCCGGAUUAAUACCGCAUACGAUCUACGGAUGAAAGCGGGGGACCUUCGGGCCUCGCGCUAUAGGGUUGGCCGAUGGCUGAUUAGCUAGUUGGUGGGGUAAAGGCCUACCAAGGCGACGAUCAGUAGCUGGUCUGAGAGGACGACCAGCCACACUGGGACUGAGACACGGCCCAGACUCCUACGGGAGGCAGCAGUGGGGAAUUUUGGACAAUGGGCGAAAGCCUGAUCCAGCAAUGCCGCGUGUGUGAAGAAGGCCUUCGGGUUGUAAAGCACUUUUGUCCGGAAAGAAAUCCUUGGCUCUAAUACAGUCGGGGGAUGACGGUACCGGAAGAAUAAGCACCGGCUAACUACGUGCCAGCAGCCGCGGUAAUACGUAGGGUGCGAGCGUUAAUCGGAAUUACUGGGCGUAAAGCGUGCGCAGGCGGUCUGUUAAGACAGAUGUGAAAUCCCCGGGCUCAACCUGGGAACUGCAUUUGUGACUGGCAGGCUAGAGUAUGGCAGAGGGGGGUAGAAUUCCA
rnacentral:rRNA from 1 species